GAGAAGCAGCACAGCCGCUGCUGCUGCCUCCAUGGUUACGUCAGACAGGCUGCAGGGUCCUGAUGUCCGCCCCUCUGCUCUGUGCCGACUCGCCACACGGUGAGGGUCGGCUGCCGUUGUCCACUGAUGCCUCUGGUCUCCCAUAGCAACUCGAUCUCGGAUGUCCCGCAUCGCACCGUGAUCACGUCAAUUUCCCGCGGCCCUCCGCAAUUCCACGUCCCGCCGCAACUCUAUUCCCCGCGGCCCUCCGCAAUUCCACGUCCCGCCGCAACUCCGUUUCCCGCGGCCCUCCGCAAUUCCACGUCUCGCCGCAACUCCGUUUCCCGCGGCCCUCCGCAAUUCCACGUCCCGCCGCAACUCUAUUCCCCGCGGCCCUCCGCAAUUCCACGUCUCGCCGCAACUCUAUUUCCCGCGGCCCUCCGCAAUUCCACGUCUCGCCGCAACUCCGUUUCCCGCGGCCCUCCGCAAUUCCACGUCUCGCCGCAACUCUUUUUCCCGCGGCCCUCCGCAAUUCCACGUCUCGCCGCAACUCUUUUUCCCGCGGCCCUCCGCAAUUCCACGUCUCACCGCAACUCUUUUUCCCGCGGCCCUCCGCAAUUCCACGUCUCACCGCAACUCUUUUUCCCGCGGCCCUCCGCAAUUCCACUUCUCGCCGCAACUCCGUUUCCCGCGGCCCUCCGCAAUUCCACGUCUCGCCGCAACUCCGUUUCCCGCGGCCCUCCGCAAUUCCACGUCUCGCCGCAACUCUAUUCCCCGCGGCCCUCCGCAAUUCCACGUCUCGCCGCAACUCUAUUUCCCGCGGCCCUCCGCAAUUCCACGUCUCGCCGCAACUCUUUUUCCCGCGGCCCUCCGCAAUUCCACGUCUCGCCGCAACUCCGUUUCCCGCGGCCCUCCGCAAUUCCACGUCUCGCCGCAACUCUUUUUCCCGCGGCCCUCCGCAAUUCCACGUCUCGCCGCAACUCCGUUUCCCGCGGCCCUCCGCAAUUCCACGUCUCGCCGCAACUCUAUUUCCCGCGGCCCUCCGCAAUUCCACGUCUCGCCGCAACUCCGUUUCCCGCGGCCCUCCGCAAUUCCACGUCCCGCCGCAAAAACCCCGUUUCCCACCGUUUUCACGCGUCUCUCAGCGGGAGUACCGCGUCUCACCGUGAGGCCUGUGUACCGUGUGUCCGGGCCGGUGUCCGGUCUGCUCAAGCGCCGGUCGGAUGGGCGCUCCGAAGUCCCGACGGCGCGGCGAGAUCGCGGCGCCGCUGGUCCCGGCGCCGCCGGUCCCGGCGCCGCUGGUCUCCUGGUCUACCUGCGCUGGUGUCCCGCUGCGCUGCGAUGUUUGCCCCGGCGCCGCUGCGAUGUCCGUG
rnacentral:lncRNA from 1 species